rnacentral:rRNA from 3 species
UUUCCCUCAGGAUAGCUGGCACUCGCUUGAGCGAGUCUCAUCUGGUAAAGCGAAUGAUUAGAGGCCUUGGGGCCGAAACGACCUCAACCUAUUCUCAAACUUUAAAUGGGUGAGAUCUCUGGCUUGCUUGAACGUUGAAGCCACGAGAUUUAUGGAUCAGAGUGCCAAGUGGGCCAAUUUUGGUAAGCAGAACUGGCGCUGUGGGA